GUUCACUGGNCGCAGUAUCCUANCCGUNNGAAGAUAGAGUAAUCACUUGUUCUUUAAGUGUGGACUAGUAUGAAUGGCAUCACGAAGGUUAUACUGUCUCCUUUUUCUAAUCAGUGAAACUAAUCUUCCCGUGAAGAAGCGGGGAUGACUUUAUAAGACGAGAAGACCCUAUGGAGCUUAAAACAAUGUAACAAUUGCUACACAACUUAAUAUUUCCCGAACAUUUAAUUCUUCAAGCACUUUGAUUACAAGUUUUUGGUUGGGGUGRCCGCGGAGCAUAAUUUANCCUCCACAUUGAAAGAAKUCAUCUAAGCUGAGANCKACCAAUCUAAGCAUCAGAAUCCUGACAUCCAUUGAUCCAAUAUAUNUGGUCCUCGANCCCAGUUACCCUAGGGAUAACAGCGCAAUCCACUUCAAGAGCUCCUAUCGACAAGUGGGUUUACGGACCUCGAUGGUGGGNUCAGGGUAUNCCAAA
rnacentral:rRNA from 1 species